GACGAACGCUGGCGGCGUGCUUAACACAUGCAAGUCGAACGGAAAGGCCCCUUUGGGGGUACUCGAGUGGCGAACGGGUGAGUAACACGUGAGUAACCUGCCCUUGACUUCGGGAUAACUUCAGGAAACUGGGGCUAAUACCGGAUAGGAAUCCUUGCUGCAUGGUGGGGGUUGGAAAGCUUCGGCGGUUUUGGAUGGACUCGCGGCUUAUCAGCUUGUUGGUGGGGUAGUGGCUUACCAAGGCUUUGACGGGUAGCCGGCCUGAGAGGGCGACCGGCCACAUUGGGACUGAGAUACGGCCCAGACUCCUACGGGAGGCAGCAGGGGGGAAUAUUGCACAAGGGGCGGAAGCCUGAUGCAGCAACGCCGCGGGCGGGAUGACGGCCUUCGGGUUGUAAACCGCUUUCAGCAGGGGCGAAGCUUGUGGUGACGGUACCUGCAGAAGAAGCACCGGCUAACUACGUG
rnacentral:rRNA from 1 species